GUUACUAAUUUCAGUGCAUCUGACGACUCUACGGUGUACAAAAUAAUAUUAACAGAUUUUUAUAACAAUGUUUGCGAGUCUAAUAUCAUAAACAAAAAGAACUCACGGCAAAUAAAUUUUUCAUAUAAUAACAUAGAACUAGAUCCAGAAACUGCAACGACAGAUAUAGUUGAAAAUUCAUUAAAAAUAGAAUUGUAUGCAAAAGCAAGUAGUGAUAAUGAAAAAAUUAAUGAAGAUAAUGGUAGGGGCAAUAACGAUGACAUAAGUGCUAAAAAUGGUAACGAAAAUGAUAGGGACAGUAAUAAUGGAAAUAAUGAAAAGGAUGAAAAGGAUGAAAAGGAUGAAAAGGAUGAAAAGGAUGAAAAGAAUGAAAAGGAUGAAAAGGAUGAAAAGGAUGAAAAGAAUGCUCAUAAAAAGGGAAACAAAAAAGACGACACUAUUGAUGCACAAUGUAAUGAACAAUGGAAUGACAACUUUAUACAAAUCGGUUCCAAAGAGAUUAAACUGUUUCCAUUUUUACACGACCAAUUAAUAAUUACAAAAAAUGUUGUAAUAUCAUACAAAUACCAAGACAAAAAUCAAGAACAGCAAGAGG